CAGCAGCCGCGGUAAUUCCAGCUCCAAAAGGGUAUAUUAAACUUGUUGCAGUUAAAAAGCUCGUCCUUGUAUUUUAGCCGCGCGUUUUUUUCCUUGGGGGAUCUUUUCGUUGGCUUUUUUUACACUGAGAGAAAUUUAGUGCGUUUCAAGCAGACUUGCCUCGAGAAUACUUGCGCGGGGAAUAAAAGAGUGGGACUGGGUUCUAUUUUGUGGGUUUGGGCCUAGGUAAUGGUUAAUAGGAACGUUGGGGGCAUUCGUAUUUAACUGUCAGAGGUGAAAUUCUUAGAUUUGUUAAAGACGUGAACGACUGCGAAAGCAUUUGCCAAGGACGUUUUCAUUAAUCAAGAACUGAAAGGUUAGGGGAUUUAAUAA
rnacentral:rRNA from 1 species